UAAUCUUUGAUGCCAUCUAUAUCCCAUCCACACAUCAACCCAAUGAUAAACUCUGGAAGCAGUUGUGGUCUCUUAACUUCCCAAAUAAGAUAGCCAAUUUUUUUUGUGGACUUGCUGCAUAGAUCGGCUGCCAUCUAAGGAACAGCUUCACAAAAGAGUAGCGGGGAUAGAUACAAAUUGUGUUUUAUGCAACACCAUUGAAUCCUCAAAACACAUGUUUUUGGAUUGUCCCAUUGCGAGGGAAGUUUGGUUUCUUUCUUCCCUCAACUUAAGAUCUUCUCUGCUGCAGGGUCAGAGCUUUGGGGAAUGUUGGUCUGUGUAGAAAGAGAUGAUUCUCAUAUAUUUCAAUUAAUCUGUACAUGGGU
rnacentral:misc_RNA from 1 species